AGACUUACGUGCUAUUUAUUUGUUCCCUUUCCAUUUUCUUCAUCAGCCUUUUUUAUAUAUAUUCCCUAUUCAAAAAAAAUCUUCUUCUUGUCCGUUUCUUUUUCAUUUUCUUCAUCAGUUUUUUUGGCAUAUUCCCUAUCAAAAAGUUGUUGUUUUGUAUUCAAAGUUUUCCCCAGCUGCUAUUUAUUGCAAGGUAAUUUCAUCUGGUGGACUCACUCCAGAAUUUCGAAAUUAGAUUAUUGGGGAGGAUAACAAAAAAAAGUAGAACACCAAAUGAAUUUCUAAGAUGCAAUAUGCUUUAUCACUAUGAGGAAAAUGGAAGCAUCAAAACACCAAGCAUUGUGGAAGCAGGCAAGCAUAAAAUCACUGAUAUCAACUUAGAACUAGCACAACCUUCCAGCAGCAAACACCCUCUUAAAAGGGACUGAAAGUAAUGUUAAUCUUUUUUGGCUUUUGUACUGCCUUUUUGAAAGCUCGAAUGAAAAAUAAAAAACGCAAGGUUUUUUGUCGAUCGCAACAUCAAUGUUGUUGUUUAUCCUUUUGUUAAUACCAAUUCUUUUAUAAAACAGUGAAAAUGUAAAUAAUGACAGUGUACUUAUCACCUAUGAAAUAUAUAAGUAUAUAUAGAUUUGAGUGGAGAAAUUUUUCUUAGUUGACAAGCUUUUUUUUAAUUACAUUACUUACUGAAAUAACGAAAGUGAAAUAUCACUAUCACUAACCAUUUCAAUAUAUAUUGUAUCAUAUAUAUUGAGCCCAUGCGCGCAAGGGCAUCCGUCAUCUAGUCUAUAUUAUAUAAGAGCCGAUUUCGACAUGGAUGCUUCCGGUAAUUGAAACUGCAAGCAAGGAUAUUUGGUCAUUUAACUUCAUCGCUUAUGUACGUGUCCUGCAGAUACCUUUUGUGUAGAUACGUGUCCUCCCGGAUCCUUAUCAUCUCCUCUUCUGUGGAUGUGUGUAAUAUACGAUUUUGAUUUUACACACAUUCCUCUACAAUUACAAGCCUUUAAGAUUCAUAGAUAUACGGAGAUUAUGUUGAUUUUUGAGGUGGUGUUCAAAUUAUUUUAUGAGUUUAAAGAAGAUGAAGCUUUUGAUGAAUUCACCUGCUCCUUCAUCGUCUUAUGAAAGUGUGUUUUUCCAUUUCCUCGAAAUUUAUGAUGUUUUGCCAUUAAAUUUUUGGCGUUUCAUUGAGGUUUCCGUCAAUUGCUGGAUUUGAAAAAGAUUAAAAAAAGUAGUGCAAAACCUCUGUUCGUUGCCGAUUUAUCUUGAUUUAAGUUAGGGCUCAGCUAAGUUCCUGCUUUUUUCCUUUUUUGUGAUUGCAAUUUUUGCAUGCUGGCUCUGUAUUGGGGUCAAUUAGCAGGUAAUGUUUCUCUUAUCAAAAUUAAAUUUGUUUAAAAAGGAUGAAAUUUGCUGAUUUGGAAAUAAUUUUUGCAAAUCUCACCCUUCAACACGAUAAUACAAAAUAAGCAAGUGAAAAAAGGAGAUGAAUUAUAAAAUCAUUUUAGUGAUCUUGGUAAAUAAUAGAAGAACAAAGUCCAAAGAGAGAAUUUGCAGUUGUACAUAAACUAUAUGUAUAUUUAUUUUUUGUAACAAGAAGAAGUUGAUAUACCUCUGUUUCUUCUUGUCUGUUUCUUCUUGUUACAAGAAGAAGCUGAUAUACCUGUGUACUUGGAAAAGUCGAUUGAUUUGUCCUGAAAUGUUAAUUGCAUUUGCAGUGAUAGCUAAAUCCAUCGGUCAACAAUGGUUUAAGCGAUCAUACCCUACGGAAACUCUUUAUCUCUCCAGCUAUGAAGUCCAAGAAUGAUAGUUUCAGUGUCAUACAACCCUUAUUUUUUACCCUCUGCUUCUGAAUCGGUCAAUUUGAAAAGGCACUGAUUCUUAUUCCGAUAAUUUUAUUUUAUUACUCCUUUCCUCCUAAUUUUUGUGACACCUUUUGGAUUUUUUAUUUUAUUACUCCUUUCCUCCUAAUUUUUGUGACACCUUUUGGAUUUUCAUAUCUCUUGAGUAUUUAGUAUUUUGAAUUAUGAGUUAUCCUACUUUAAGUAGUUUUUAAAUAUAUAAAUUUACCGUGUCAAAAUUCACUGGUCAAAAUUAAAAAUUUAUCAUGUCCAAAUUCACGUUAAAAUUAAGUUAUUUGACUUUUGAAAUUCAAACUGUGAUACAUAAAUUGGACAGAGAGAGUACUUCCUUUGUAGCUAUUUGUGGAAUGGAACAUUUCUUUUUUUAAAAAUAUGAUUAUGAAGCACUGGGGGAUUAAUUACAGGGAUUUUGGAGGUUAAAUUGGAUAGACCGGAGACGUGAAAUGCGAUUGGGAAGGAAAUGCUUAGAGGAUUACAGCAUGCAUUUGAAGAUGUUAGUAAUGAACGUUCAGCGAAUGUUUUGAUAAUCUGUAGUUCGAUUCCUAAGAUAUUUUGUGCUGGAACUGAUUUGAAGCAUAUAUUUCAGCUUCAAGUGAACGACUUUGCAAUUCAAGUUGUUUUAAGUUUGCUGUGGAAGUAUCAGUACCUCUCUGCAUGAUCUUUCAAUAACUUAAUGAUUCGGAAAAAAGUGUUCUUGACUUGCAAGCGAAAGAGGCUACCAGGUUCUGAUCUUUAUCUGAAAAAUGGGAUUUCCUAAUACACCUUCUGAGUAUAGAAAAUCAAAGGUUGUAGCUCCUUUGCUGAAGGAAGAGGAGAAGUGUGAGAACCCUAGCUUCAAGGAUGAAAAGAAAAACUUUGAGGCUGAUUUACACAGAAGAAAAUCCUCGAAUAUGAUUUCCGGCUUGGGCCCAAGCAUGAACGAGUAGAUCUUUCCCUCCAAAUACGAUUUAGUCAAGUUUUUUCUGCGUAUGGGCUGAAGUAAACUGAGGUUGAUCGUAAAGUAGUUCCAGGAAGUCCUCUUUCAGUAAACAACUUCUCCAAUUGGCAAAAAUGUACCUCUCUACCAGUGACCCCUCCUUCAAAUUCAUCUCCAUCAGUUUCCAUGCCUAUUUCUGUGGGGACACACGGUGAACAACAAAGAUCACAUUGCACAUUUAGAUGGAAAAGAAUUAGUCGACCUCUACUUGAAUUGCAUUGUGAAGUUUGCAGACAAUUCAGUGGUCUUCCAUAUAUUACAGCUGCACUAACAGGUAUUUUGUUAAAGAAAAGAAGUUUGUAUACUAUUGAUUGAAGCAGGAUAGCCGAUGUCAACUUUGAGCAAUUGAGUUGAGAGUUUUGUUGCAAGAAGCAGCAUAAGCUACAAAAAAAAAAUACAGUAACUAAGACUUGAAUUGGUUGUUGGAAGGACAAAGUUUAUGUUUUACUGUGCCAUUGUAAAGAGCAACUUACGUCGUAUGCAUAUAUAGAAAACCAUUGAAUUGUUGAUACAUGUCCGUU